rfam:Nomascus leucogenys chromosome 13, whole genome shotgun sequence.
AUGCUUUUGUAGUUCAUAAGCAUGAUGAUUCGGUUUUCUUGCUCUUGUAUGAGAUGUGCCUCCCUCAUAACCUUGGAAACCUGACUUGAAA